UACGAAGGGGGCUAGCGUUAUUCGGAAUUAUUGGGCGUAAAGGGCGCGUAGGCGGCCUGGCAAGUGGAUGGUGAAAUCCCUCGGCUUAACCGAGGAACUGCCAUCCAGACUGCUUGGCUUGAGACCGGGAGAGGUGAGUGGAAUUCCCAGUGUAGCGGUGAAAUGCGUAGAUAUUGGGAGGAACACCAGUGGCGAAGGCGGCUCACUGGACCGGUACUGACGCUGAGGCGCGAAAGCGUGGGGAGCAAACGGG
rnacentral:rRNA from 1 species